rnacentral:rRNA from 1 species
AACUUUCAACAACGGAUCUCUUGGUAUGGCAUCGAUGAAGAAGCAGCGAAAUGCGAUAAGUAAUGUGAAUUGCAGAAUUCAGUGAAUCAUCGAAUCUUUGAACGCACAUUGCGCCCGCUGGUAUUCCAGCGGGCAUGCCUGUUCGAGCGUCAUUUC